rnacentral:rRNA from 1 species
CGAACGCUGGCGGCAUGCCUAACACAUGCAAGUCGAACGAGACCUUCGGGUCUAGUGGCGCACGGGUGCGUAACGCGUGGGAACCUGCCCUUAGGUUCGGAAUAACUCCCCGAAAGGGGUGCUAAUACCGGAUAAUGUCUUCGGACCAAAGAUUUAUCGCCUUUGGAUGGGCCCGCGUUGGAUUAGCUAGUUGGUAGGGUAAAAGCCUACCAAGGCGACGAUCCAUAGCUGGUCUGAGAGGAUGAUCAGCCACACUGGGACUGAGACACGGCCCAGACUCCUACGGGAGGCAGCAGUGGGGAAUAUUGGACAAUGGGCGAAAGCCUGAUCCAGCAAUGCCGCGUGAGUGAUGAAGGCCUUAGGGUUGUAAAGCUCUUUUACCCGGGAUGAUAAUGACAGUACCGGGAGAAUAAGCUCCGGCUAACUCCGUGC